rnacentral:tRNA from 1 species
AUCUACUUAGUAUAAAUAAUACAUCUGACUUCCAAUUAGAAGAUUCAACUAGAAUGAAGUAGAUA